rnacentral:rRNA from 1 species
UACAGAGGGUGCAAGCGUUAAUCGGAAUUACUGGGCGUAAAGCGUGCGUAGACGGUUAUGUAAGUCAGAUGUGAAAGCCCCGGGCUCAACCUGGGAAUUGCAUUUGAGACUGCAUAGCUAGGGCGCGGAAGAGGGAAGCGGAAUUUCCGGUGUAGCGGUGAAAUGCGUAGAUAUCGGAAGGAACACCAGUGGCGAAAGCGGCUUCCUGGUCCAGCACCGACGUUCAGGCACGAAAGCGUGGGGAGCAAACAGG